ACAGUUUGAUUCUAGCUGAAAACUUAGCUACUAUUGAACCAAUAUACAUGUAAGCCUAAGCUUUCCCGCAUCUAUAGUCUCCUAAAAGGUAGAAUAAAUACAUCAAGAUUACUAUACGUAAUAGUGCGCCACAGUAAAUAACACUAAUAAAUUUGUUAAAACAAGAAUUGGAUAUCAAUUUAAGGGUUGGCAAAAUUCGUGCCAGCUGCCGCGGUUAGACGAUAAACUCAAGUUAACUUCUAAACGACUAAAUAUAUGGUGUACUAAAUAGUUCUUAAGGUCUAAUUUAAUAACCAGAGAACCUCAUUCAUCAAAACAUUAUGAAGCCAUAAACUAAAACACGGAUUAGAUACCCGUCUAUUCAUGUAAUAAAUAAAAGUCGAAAAAUACGAACUACAGUUUAAAACUCAAAGAUUUUGGCGGUGUCUUAUCAAACCAGGGGAACCUGUCUCAUAACUCGAUAAUCCACGAAUACCUUACCCCUUCUAGAUCUACCAGUUUGUGUACUGCCGUCGUAAGCACACCUCUAAAAGUAUUUAAGUAUGCAAAUAUGAUUAACUCCCAUUUACGUCAGGUCAAAGUGCAGCUAAUGAAGAGGUGACGAUGGGUUACACUCUAAAUAAAGAUACAGAAUAUAUUUUAAAAGAUAUCUUAAAGGUGGACUUGGAUGUAAUAUUAAUCCUAAGUUAUAAUGAAGAUGAAUCUAAGACAUGCACACAUCGCCCGUCACUCUCACCUAAAGGUGAGAUAAGUCGUAACAAAGUAGGUGUAACGGAAGUUGCACCUGU
rnacentral:ncRNA from 1 species